CAAUAGCGUAUAUUAAAGUUGUUGCGGUUAAAAAGCUCGUAGUUGGAUUUCUGCCGAGGACGACCGGUCCGCCCUCUGGGUGAGUAUCUGGUUCGGCCUGGGCAUCUUCUUGGAGAACGUAUCUGCACUUGACUGUGUGGUGCGGUAUCCAGGACUUUUACUUUGAGGAAAUUAGAGUGUUUCAAGCAGGCACACGCCUUGAAUACAUUAGCAUGGAAUAAUAAGAUAGGACCUUGGUUCUAUUUUGUUGGUUUCUAGAGCUGAGGUAAUGAUUAAUAGGGAUAGUUGGGGGCAUUCGUAUUUAACUGUCAGAGGUGAAAUUCUUGGAUUUGUUAAAGACUAACUUAUGCGAAAGCAUUUGCCAAGGAUGUUUUCAUUAAUCAAGAACGAAAGUUAGGGGAUCAAAGACGAUCAGAUACCAU
rnacentral:rRNA from 1 species